UACGUAGGUGUCGAGCGUUGUCCGGAUUUAUUGGGCGUAAAGCGCCCGCAGGCGGCUUGGCAAGUUCGAGGUGAAAUCUCCCGGCUCAACUGGGAGGGUGCCUCGGAAACUGCCAGGCUUGAGGCAGGGAGAGGGAUGUGGAAUUCCCGGUGUAGUGGUGAAAUGCGUAGAUAUCAGGAGGAACACCGGCGGCGAAGGCGGCCCUCUGGAUCGUUGCUGACGCUGAUACGCGAAAGCGUGGGGAGCAAACAGG
rnacentral:rRNA from 1 species